GAUUCCCUAGUACUGCGAGUGAGCGGGAUGAGCUCAAAUUUAAAAUCUGGCGUCUUUGGCGUCCGAGUUGUAACCUAUAGAAGCGUUUUCGGCCGCCGGAUGUGGACAAGUCCCUUGGAACAGGGCGUCAUAGAGGGUGAGAAUCCCGUACUUGCUACAACACCGUGCGUCUAUGUGAUACGCUUUCAAAGAGUCGAGUUGUUUGGGAAUGCAGCUCUAAAUGGGACGUAUGUUCGUUCUAAGGCUAAAUAUUAACGAGAGACCGAUAGCGAACAAGUACCGUGAGGGAAAGAUGAAAAGCACUUUGGAAAGAGAGUUAAACAGUACGUGAAAUUGCUAAAAGGGAAGCGCUUGAAGUCAGUCGCGUCUUUGGGGAUUCAGCCUUGACCGGUGCAUUUCCUCUUCGACGGGCCAACAUCGAUUUCUGCCGCGGGAAAAGGGCGUGAGGAAUGUGGCAGCUUCGGCUGUGUUAUAGCCUCGCGUCGUAUGCCGUGGUGGGGAUCGAGGACCGCAGCUUCGGCUUAGGAUGUUGGCGUAAUGGCUUUAAGCGACCCGUCUUGAA
rnacentral:rRNA from 1 species